rnacentral:lncRNA from 1 species
ACACUAAGUUACAUAAAGAGAUUUUCAUUUUGGUUUCACUUCUAUAAAUACAGUCUUCUGAUGUGCAUUCUUUUUAAUGCUUAGGACAAUGGCUUGGUCCCAAUUGUGGAGCCAGAGAUCUUGCUUGAUGGUGAACAUGGCAUUGACAGGACUUUUGAGGUAGCGAAAAAGGUUUGGGCUGAGGUUUUCUUCUACCUUGCUGAGAACAAUGUCCAGUUUGAGGGUAUCCUCCUUAAGCCUAGCAUGGUUACUCCUGGAGCCGAGUCCAAGGACAGAGCCUCUCCUCAGAAAGUUGCUGACUACACACUCAAGCUUCUUCACAGCAGAAUUCCCCCGGCCGUCCCCGGAAUUAUGGUAAGUAACACUGCCAAACUCCAUCAUUACAUUGUUCUUUAUAUGUUGAUGUACUAAGAAAAUGUCCAAUUUUGUGUAGUUCUUGUCUGGUGGACAAUCUGAGGUGGAAGCAACUCUCAACUUGAAUGCAAUGAACCAAUGAAUAUGGUUUUGUACUUCAUUCCUUGUACUCUUCUAUGCUAAGAAUACUAGAAUAGGAAAUAAAACACUCAGUAGAUUACUGUAGUAGAAUGUUGAUUAAUCACCAAGAGUGCCCUUACUAGAUUGGAUUAUAAUAAUAAAUAAAAUAGUUUUAUAGAAGCUAUCACUUGGUAAUGUGUAGGGUUGAAAUCUUGGUUCUGUUUGCACUUUAUAAUGUUCAUUAGUUUGCCAACUUCAAGAACCAUGUCAGUUGGAUUCUUAUUUUAUUUUAACCAAAGUUUGCAGAUAACUUAAGUACCUUCCCUUCAAAUAGGUUUGGUAAUUCUGUCUUCUUUAUUCUUUUUGCUUCUACCAAUCUACAUGCGAUUGCUUAAUAGACUUGAUAGUUUCCCUACUACCAAAGAAGGAAAAGUAAAUAUAUUUGUGACUUUGGCCAUUGAAUAUCAUAGUUUGGAGACCUCAAUCUCUCCAAAAUCUGAGACUAAAUCAGGACCAUAAAAUCUUUUAGAAGGAGACAAAUUGCAUCAUCAUCAAGCCUAGUUAUAACCGCACACUGGUUUUUCCAUACAAAAGCCACUAACUUGUACCCUUUUGGAUGCAUGUUACACCUUUGUCACUAAUAGCAGCACAAUUGUGGGGAAAAAACUCUACCUUUUAUUUCCAAAUUCCAAGUCUAUUUGUUAACUUUUACAAGGUGAGCAAAGAGCCAUCCAUUUCAACCACUUAAUGCAGGAGAUUAUUGUAAGAGCACAAGUUUACCAUCUUAUAUUUAAACACACUCGUAAUAAAAAUAGUAUUUUUACUACUUGUUAUUAAGAGUGCGUUUAAAUAUGAGAUGGUAAACUUGUGUAAUGUAUUCACCUAGGAAUUUUUUGACAAUGGAAAAUGCCAAGUAAGCAGGAGUUAUCAUCCACAUGUCAGGUGAGGAUAGGUUGGUUGACAUGAGCCUCAAAUGAGAUAUCACUUGGUAACUAUAAAUAUAGAGAGAACAGAGUGCAUGUGUGGUAAAAAGGCACACAAAGAGGUUGCUGAAGGGGAUAAGAUUAUUGUGUUGCUGCUUGUUAAGGCAGAUUCAUACCAUUUUAUUGCAUUGAAACAAACAAUGGCCUCAGCAUCAGCAACUCUUCUCAAGUCAUCCCCAGUUCUUGACAAGUCUGAGUGGGUUAAAGGCCAAACACUUCGCCAAACUGCAGUGUCUCUUGCAAGAACCAACUCUGCCGCCCCAUCACCAUCAGCACUCACCAUCAGAGCUGGUUCCUAUGCCGAGGAGCUCGUCAAGACCGCGGUAUGAACGAUAAAACAUUGUUUUGAAUGCUAGAUGAUAAUGAUUCACCCCCAUAAUUCAUUUUGUUCUUUGCACUUUGGAUUUCUAGUACUUUAGUUAUGAACUUAUGUUGCACCAAAGCAUGGUUUACUUUACCAACUACGAACCAAGAGUAGCUCCAUUUAUGAACUUCAGAGGGCGUGUAGUUUUACAUCUUACAUUAGCAUGGUUUUGAAAUUGUUGCUUCAAUCUUCUUCAACCGUGUAAUCUUUUGAAUGUGUACGUGUAUAAUAUAUUUAGAAAACUAUUGCUUCACCUGGGCGUGGGAUUUUGGCGAUGGAUGAGUCAAAUGCAACCUGUGGGAAGCGUUUGGCCUCAAUUGGGCUAGAGAACACUGAAGCUAACCGCCAAGCAUACCGCACCCUCCUUGUGGCAGCACCAGGCCUUGGUCAGUUCAUCUCCGGUGCCAUUCUCUUUGAAGAAACUCUCUACCAAUCCACCGUUGAUGGCAAGAAAAUUGUUGAUUUACUUAAAGAGCAAAGCAUUGUUCCUGGUAUCAAAGUCGACAAGGUAAGCUCAAUGUGUCUUCUUUCUUUGAAAUGUUUGACAACAAAAAAAUUAGCCAAAAACAACAAAAAAUUGUCUUAUUUAAUAUUUAUUAAUUAUUACUAGAAUUAAUUAAUCUUAAAUAANNNNNNNNNNNNNNNNNNNNNNNNNNNNNNNNNNNNNNNNNNNNNNNNNNNNNNNNNNNNNNNNNNNNNNNNNNNNNNNNNNNNNNNNNNNNNNNNNNNNNNNNNNAGACAAGUUUGGAUUUUUUUUUUCUUUCUAACAUUAGCGUCUUUUCUGUUUUGGAUUACCUUUAUGCCUUAACCAGUAGAGUAAAGAAUUGAAGGAAUGAUAUAAAUAUAUCUCUAACAUCAAAUAUCCUACUUAUACACUAAAAAUCAACCAUCAAAUCAAUCACAUGUAUAAAAUACAUAUUAAAAUAUAAAAUAUAUAUUAAAAAUAAGUUAAACAAUAUAUGUAUUUACAUACAAAUAUAUUUUGGGUGAUUUUUAGCAUGUACAUAACACUUUUGAUAUACCAUAAUUGAAGUUAGCUUGUUGUAUGAUUGUCAUUGUCGUUGUCAUUGUGUAGUACAUGUGUGUGAAACGCACAAGUAGUAAGAUGAAAGAGAGAAAGCAAACGAUUUUCCCUUGGUGUGUAGUAUUUUAUUAAGAAAACAUGGUUUAUGAUAUACAAGUUUAGAAUUUUACUCAUGCCAUUGUAUUUGUUAAUACAUGGUUUAUGCAUGCGUUAAAAACAACAGGGUUUGGUGCCCUUGGCUGGUUCCAAUGAUGAGUCAUGGUGCCAAGGUUUGGAUGGUCUUGCCUCUCGCUCAGCCGCAUACUACCAGCAAGGUGCUCGUUUCGCCAAAUGGUGAGUUUCUGCAUAUUCUACUCUUUCUAGGGUCAUCAGAAUUUAUUGUUUAGCCAUUAAUGUUUAAAAGUAUGGGAUAAAAUAUAUUGUUGGAUUACUAGAUUAAAAAGAUUAAGUUGAUGGGGAAGUGAUGGCCAAAAAUAAUAGAUUUUUAAGGUUCGUAUCUCAAAUCGAAAUUUUAAGAUAAUUUUUGCAUUAAUAAUGACUUAAUUUAUAAACCAGGCGCACUGUUGUGAGCAUCCCCAAUGGUCCCUCUGCUUUGGCUGUCAAGGAAGCAGCAUGGGGUUUGGCUCGCUAUGCAGCCAUUUCUCAGGUAGUAAAUUAAAGAAACAAUUCAAGUUAUUCAAGAAUACUUAGUUGUAUUUAUAUAGUCUUCUAAGCUGUUUUUUUUUUGGUUCAAUGGUUAGGACAAUGGCUUGGUUCCAAUUGUGGAGCCAGAGAUCUUGCUUGAUGGUGAACAUGGCAUUGACAGGACUUUUGAGGUAGCGAAAAAGGUUUGGGCUGAGGUUUUCUUCUACCUUGCUGAGAACAAUGUC